rnacentral:snoRNA from 1 species
CGGAUCGAUGAUGAGUAUUGGUGGCGUAGGGGUCAUAUAUGAUGAAUACGCGUCUGAAACUCUGAGGUCCAU